rnacentral:tRNA from 1 species
AGUGGUAUAGCCAAGCGGUAAGGCCCCGGUUUUUGAUACCGGUAUGCCCUGGUUCGAAUCCAGGUGCCACUGCCA